rnacentral:rRNA from 1 species
UACGUAGGGUGCGAGCGUUGUCCGGAAUUAUUGGGCGUAAAGAGCUCGUAGGCGGUCUGUCGCGUCUGCUGUGAAAUCCCGAGGCUCAACCUCGGACUUGCAGUGGGUACGGGCAGGCUAGAGUGUGGUAGGGGAGACUGGAAUUCCUGGUGUAGCGGUGAAAUGCGCAGAUAUCAGGAGGAACACCGAUGGCGAAGGCAGGUCUCUGGGCCACUACUGACGCUGAGAAGCGAAAGCAUGGGGAGCGAACAGG